rnacentral:rRNA from 1 species
CCUACGGGUGGCAGCAGUGAGGAAUAUUGGUCAAUGGGAGAGAUCCUGAACCAGCCAAGCCGCGUGAGGGAAGACGGCCCUAUGGGUUGUAAACCUCUUUUGUCGGAGAGCAAAGUGCCGCACGUGUGCGGUUUGGAGAGUACCCGGAGAAAAAGCAUCGGCUAACUCUGUGCAAGCAGCCGCGGUCAUACGGAGGAUGCGAGCGUUAUCCGGAUUUAUUGGGUUGAAAGGGUGCGUAGGCGGACGCUUAAGUCAGCGGUAAAAGCGCGGGGCUCAACGUCGUCGAGCCGUUGAAACUGGGUGCCUUGAGUGGGCGGGAAGUACGCGGAAUGCGUGGUGUAGCGGUGAAAUGCAUAGAUAUCACGCAGAACUCCGAUUGCGAAGGCAGCGUACCGGCGCCCAACUGACGCUGAAGCACGAAGGCGUGGGUAUCGAACAGGAUUAGAUACCCGAGUAGUC